UCAAGUUAUUAAGGGUGCAGGGCGGAUGCCUUGGCACUAGGAGCCGAUGAAGGACGUGAUAAGCUGCGAUAAGCUUCGGGGAGUUGCACGUAAACUUUGAUCCGAAGAUUUCCGAAUGAGGAAACUCACUUAGAGUAAUGUCUAAGUAUCGUUAAGUGAAUACAUAGCUUAGCGAGGGGAACCCGGGGAACUGAAACAUCUAAGUACCCGGAGGAAGAGAAAGAAAUUCGAUUCCGUAAGUAGCGGCGAGCGAACGCGGAACAGGCCAAACCAAUGAAGUUUACUUCGUUGGGGUUGCGGACAUACAACAUGGACGAAAAAGCUACUAGUAUGAUCCAGAGUACCAUGGGACACGUGAAACCCUGUGGGAAGCAGGAGGGACCAUCCUCCAAGCCUAAAUACUACUUAGUGACCGAUAGCGCAUAGUACCGUGAGGGAAAGGUGAAAAGAACCCCGGGAGGGGAGUGAAAUAGAACCUGAAACCCUGCACUUACAAGCUGUGGGAGCACAUUACUUGUGUGACCGCGUACUUUUUGUAGAACGGGCCAACGAGUUACGUUAAGUAGCAAGGUUAAGCACUUAAGGUGUGGAGCCGUAGCGAAAGCGAGUCUUAAAUGGGCGAUUAAGUUACUUGGCGUAGACCCGAAACCGGGCGACCUAUCCAUGAGCAGGUUGAAGCGAAAGUAAAAUUUCGUGGAGGACCGAACCCACGAGCGUUGAAAAGCUCGGGGAUGACUUGUGGAUAGCGGAGAAAUUCCAAUCGAACCCGGAGAUAGCUGGUUCUCCCCGAAAUAGCUUUAGGGCUAGCCUCAAGCGUAGAGAAACGGAGGUAGAGCACUGAAUGUCCUAGGGGGUAUUGCACUUACCGAAGACUAUCAAACUCCGAAUGCCGUUUUCUUUUACUUGGGAGUCAGACUGUGGGUGAUAAGAUUCAUAGUCAAAAGGGCAACAGCCCAGAUCGUCAGCUAAGGUCCCUAAAUGUACGUUAAGUGGUAAAGGAUGUGGGAUUGCACAGACAACCAGGAUGUUGGCUUAGAAGCAGCCACUCAUUUAAAGAGUGCGUAAUAGCUCACUGGUCGAGUGAUCCUGCGCCGAAAAUUUCCGGGGCUAAAACGUACUACCGAAGCUACGGCAUCAUUUAUGAUGGGUAGGGGAGCUUCGUAUGCAGGCUGAAGCAUGACCGUAAGGACAUGUGGACAGUAUACGAGUGAGAAUGUUGGCAUGAGUAGCGAGACGUGGGUGAGAAUCCCACGGGCCGUAAACCCAAGGUUUCCAGGGGAAGGUUCGUCCGCCCUGGGUUAGUCGGGACCUAAGCCGAGGCCGAAAGGCGUAGGUGAUGGACAACAGGUUGAUAUUCCUGUACCGCCAAUAAGCGUUUGAGAGAUGGAGUGACACAGUAGGAUAAGCUAACCGUACUGUUGGUUAUGUACGGCUAAGCAUUGAGGCAGUCUAAAUAGGCAAAUCCGUUUAGACAAUGCUAGGAUGUGAUGGGGAAGCCCUUCGGGGCGAAGUAGCUGAUUUCACACUGUCAAGAAAAGCUUCUAUCGAGUUUAAAGGCGCCCGUACCGUAAACCGACACAGGUGGGUGAGGAGAGUAUCCUAAGGCCAGCGAGAGAACUAUUGUUAAGGAACUCGGCAAAAUGACCCCGUAACUUAGGGAGAAGGGGUGCCUGUCUAUGACAGGCCGCAGAGAAUAGGCCCAAGCGACUGUUUACCAAAAACACAGGUUUCUGCUAAGUCGCAAGACGAUGUAUAGGAGCUGACGCCUGCCCGGUGCUGGAAGGUUAAGGGGAUCUGUUAGAGCAAUCGAAGCAGUGAACUUAAGCCCCAGUAAACGGCGGCCGUAACUAUAACGGUCCUAAGGUAGCGAAAUUCCUUGUCGGGUAAGUUCC
rnacentral:rRNA from 1 species